UACGGAGGGGGCUAGCGUUGUUCGGAAUUACUGGGCGUAAAGCGCACGUAGGCGGGUCUUUAAGUCAGGGGUGAAAUCCUGGAGCUCAACUCCAGAACUGCCUUUGAUACUGAAGAUCUUGAGUCCGGGAGAGGUGAGUGGAACUGCGAGUGUAGAGGUGAAAUUCGUAGAUAUUCGCAAGAACACCAGUGGCGAAGGCGGCUCACUGGCCCGGUACUGACGCUGAGGCACGAAAGCGUGGGGAGCAAACAGG
rnacentral:rRNA from 1 species